UGGGGCGGCUUUUCGGGUUUCCUGCGGAGCCCAGCAACCGCCGCGGAGAGGAAACAGCUUCUAAGGACCCUCGAAAUCCCCCCCUCCGAGCUGGGCCGGAGGCGUCCGGAAAUUCUCCUCGCGUCUGCGUUCCACGGAAACGUUUCUGUGCCUGGCUACCGUCAAACUUCUGUCCGGAUCUUGCCGUUUGCUUCAGUGUUUUCUUGUCCGCCUUAGACACUUGAUUCAGAUGUAACCGGGCUUUCUUUGUAUCUCUGUGUCUAUUUCCCCGUCACGUGAAUAUUCAGUGUUGUUAAACACCCAACAGAAUCUCAGGAUAGAUUGUCCCUGGCAGAGAGGGCUUUACCCACGGAGCCCCUACAAGGUCAGCGGUGUGAAAAUGCAGUUGCUACGGCAUCCGCUAACUGGAGCCAGGAAGUUGUGGAGUUGCCGAGAGUCAAGAACCUUCCGUCCAGCCUCCAUCCACAACCCCUCGGGAAAUGCGAGCCACGAGGAAUGUACGCUAAGAGCCGCCCUGAGCUGCUAGAUGGAGCAGGACAGGCGUGAGUCCGCCAAGAACUUGCCUCCCACAACACCCGGAGCCGCUGUCGAGAGUCAGUCAUCUGUCGUCAUGCUGAAUCAACUUAAAUAUUGCCUCUUGGUUUUGUUUUGUUUUGUUUUUUAGCAAGUGUUUCAGAUGAUGAUUAAAUCAUUCUUAUAAUCUAAAAUUAUUUAAAAACACAAACAGGAAGAUAGAAGGAAAUUGCUAAAAUUAAUUAAUAAACUAUCAACACAGGAAA